AUGUUAGUUAGAUGAUUGUGAGGUGUUUGUCGAUGUUAGUUAGUUGAGUGUGAGGUGUUUGUUGAUGUUAGUUAGCUGAGUGUGAGGUGUUUGUCGAUGUUAGUUAGCUGAGUGUGAGGUGUUUGUCGAUGUUAGUUAGUUGAGUGUGAG